rnacentral:rRNA from 1 species
GACAGAGGGGGCAAGCGUUGCUCGGAAUUACUGGGCGUAAAGGGCGCGUAGGCGGGAUGGCAAGUCGGUCGUGAAAUCCCUCGGCUCAACUGAGGAGCGUCGAUCGAAACUGCCGUUCUUGAGGGUUGCAGAGGAGACUGGAAUUCCCGGUGUAGCGGUGAAAUGUGUAGAGAUCGGGAGGAACACCGGUGGCGAAGGCGGGUCUCUGGGCAACUCCUGACGCUGAGGCGCGAAAGCGUGGGGAGCAAACGGG